CCUACGGGUGGCAGCAGUGGGGGAUAUUGCACAAUGGGGGGAACCCUGAUGCAGCGACGCCGCGUGGGUGCAGGAGUGCUUCGGCAUGUAAAGCCCUAUCGGCAGGGAAGAAGCAAGACGGUACCUGACUAAGAAGCCCCGGCUAACUACGUGCCAGCAGCCGCGGUAAUACGUAGGGGGCGAGCGUUAUCCGGAUUCACUGGGUGUAAAGGGAGCGUAGACGGCUGUGCAAGGCUGAAGUGAAAGCCCGGGGCUCAACCCUGGGACUGCUUUGGAAACUGUGGAGCUAGAGUGCGGGAGGGGUAAGUGGAAUGCCUGGUGUAGCGGUGAAAUGCGUAGAUAUUAGGAGGAACACCAGUGGCGAAGGCGGCUUACUGGACAGUAACUGACGUUGAGGCUCGAAAGCGUGGGGAGCGAACAGGAUUAGAUACCCUUGUAGUC
rnacentral:rRNA from 1 species